ACAAAGCAGGGCGUUAAGCAGCAAUGAAAAUGAUAGCGGAUAAUAAGAUGAUCAAACACCGGGAAUACUUUCAAAUCCAUGAAGUCAUUUGCAGGACUACUUUGCGCAACAACUUCUCCCCUCCCGCUGUCACUGAAAUCAAAUAAGUAGCUCCACUGACCUGACCAGCUGUGUCACAGAGCUGAAGUCUCACCGGCUUGCCAUCGACAGACACAACAGCUUUGGAGAGAAAGGAGGGAAGGGAAAACUGAGAAACUUGAAAAGCCUGACACUGAAAGAGGCGAGGGAGUGAGGCAGCACGCUCUGAGCAUGACGUGAUGCACUGCUGCUUGUUCCAGGGAAGGGUAUGGCCUGAUCUGCGCGGCUGUCACCAAGAUCCUAUUCUUUAAUGAGAAGAGCAACCCUGAGGAGCCCCUGUUUACAGACAAUCUGGAGAGAGGGAGGAAAUCCAAGGACUAAAUGGGAGGAGAAGAAAACAUGUUGGACAAUGUGCUGCACACUGGUGGGACUGGUGUGUGACAGAGGAGAGAGCUGAGAAGAGAAACGACAGCCCAGUUUGGACACACAUCACUGAGGAGCUGGAGCAGAGCAGCUAGCACUCAAAGCUGGCAUGGUUUCUGCAGCACGGGUGCUCUUUACUAGACCACCUAUCAAUGCAUGUGUGAAUUCCCUUACUAGUUUUACUAGCUGCCAUAACCCCACCAGUUCCAAAGGUGGACUCUCAAAACAGCUGUCAAAAUCCUAGCUUCCUAAUGGGAGACCUCACUUUUGUUAACAGUGCUGGGAGGUGAGGGGAACAGAGAGACCUGUCUGCUCUGCCAGCAAUGCUCCCAGGCUUGCCUCUGCACCCAGCCUCCCCAGUGAAGCUUGGCCUAGCCAAGAGAUCUGUGCUGAUCUGCUUUUGUGGACAGUUUGUCCCAUGCAUUUUUAGCUGGUUACUCUUUAAGUCUGAAAAACAACAAUUGGUCCUAGUGUUAUCUCUUUUGGAGCCUGCCACUUCCUCUUGGUAUCAAACUUGGAAGAACCCCACGGCUACUGCUGAAAAGCUUUUUCCCUUUCCACAUUUAAAGAUCUUUUCUGAAAGCGGUUGCUAGGAUCUCCUUGGUGGGGAUUAAAAGGCUUGGAACAAGCCAGCCCAAGUGUCAGUUUUAUUGAAAGUGAACAGGGUGGUCUUCUGUGAUAACUGCCCGACUUUGAGGGCAGGCAUCUCAGGAAAGCAUCCACAGCUGGCUCCGGGGCAGCUUAGCAGAGAGGGAAAGCCAUGGCUUUUUCUGUACUGCAUGGUUAACAUAAGGCAGGAAACUAAAGACCACGAUGCACUUAGUGCAGAGCAAACGCUGCCAUCCAAAUCAGCACCAUCCUGGCUCAGGUGGUUGUAUGUGGAGGCUCCCAGGUGCCUCCCUGAUCCCCAACUUAUCUGGGCCAGCUCAGUGCCAAGUCAGUCCCACCUGCCUGGUGCUGCCAGCCACAGCUGGGGAGGAGCAGGCACUUCUCAGCAUGCUCUGCUCUACCCCACCAGAAAUCUGCUUCGAUAGAGAACUGUGAGCAGGUUUGGGAUAUUGGAAAGCAGUUAUGCAGGCAUUAUGUUUUUCUUCUCAGGGACAAGGAUGAAAACCUUCGAUUCUCAGGUUUUCAGGCUAGCACUUUUCAGCCGUAAUAGGUAUACAUAAAUCAGAAGCCAGCCACAAUUAAAUGUAAGAGAUUUUUUCUCUUUCAGGCAUCCUGUCUCUACUUGGGAGUCCUUCACUAGCAUACAAGGCUGGGUGCAGGAAGUUGCCAUUCUAGUCCAUUUGAGCUGGAUUUUGAAAGAAAAAGUUGCCAGAACAGUACCACCAGCAUGGCUCUGAAAGGCAAUGGUUUACUAUCACAUAGCAAUGUUUUCACUAGCCUAGUUUAAAACUAAUUUUCUGAGCAGAAUGAGGUUCCAAGGGCUCCUUUGCUGGAUAACCUUGACAGACUAGUGUCCUCUCUUAAAUGGGAAUUUAUGUGCCUGAAAACGUGGCUCAACAGGGAAACUUCUGCUGAGUGAAAACUGAGCCUCAGUUUAUCGGCGUUUGAGAAAGUACUUUGUAGGUGUCUGCAAGUCCUUAGACUAAAAAUGUGAAUAAGGGUAAAGCAUUACUGGUAGAUAAUGUGAUCCUGUCUUUGAACCUGCUUCUCCAUCUGCUUUAUGGAUCUCCAUAUCUUUGACGGAGAGUGUUAGAGCAAGAAGGACAAAAAUGCUGAACCUCUUUCAGCUUCGGUAGUUCAAGAGAAGGGUUUUUGUGGAGAAGUGCCCUAGGGGCUUUGAGCACCAGCCUCUGUUAGCUGCAAAUACAAGCCACUAAAAAGCACCAGAGCUUUCCCACUGAAGUAAAGGCAUCGGGAAGAGGAGAUUAAUAGGUUGCCAGCUGUGUCGGCGUGAUAAGCCAAGCAAGAACCCAGAUGCUUUCAGUCGAAAAUGGAUUGAGACCUCAGCAGGGGCACAUGGCAAAUCAGCCAGAAGCUACACAUGGAAAACUGAGCAAGGCAGUGUGGGUAAACAUUUCUUAUCUUCACUUUACGUCAAUAGAAAUGGCAUUGUAAAAGAGGCAGCAAAGUAUUUGCUGGAGAGGAGGAGGGAAAAGUCCACAAGCUUUCUUGGCUGUACAUGUAGGUUUUAAAAUGCUACUGUUUUCCUAGGAAACCUGUCACUGAAAACAAACAACUAUCAAAAAUCACCCAGCAAGUUCUUCCAGAAGGCUGGCUGAUUGCUUGUUUUGGUAGAUUUAGCUGAGCUGUGCUGGCAGGAAUCUGCCUGCCACUGCUGUUGUGCUCCAAAGGCAGUCGGGAAAGUACAACUCCUUAAACCAAUCUAAAGCACAGCUGUCAUAAUCACCCCAUCUAGUCUGAUUUGCCACAAAACAGGACUUGUGGGAGAGGCAGACCUCAGAAAUCUGGAGUUUCUGCAAGGUGAUGCUGUCUGCAGCCAUCUCCCUGUUUCCCACAGUUCUUGCUUCUACAGCAGCCCAGCCCAAUUACCUUCAUAGGCUUUUUCUUUGCUUUCUGGUUUUAUUGUUUUCUUUAAGGCUAAUUAACAGAAAGGUGACUGAGGCCCAGGUUUCUUGUGUGGAUUUUUUUUUUGUGCUGGUGGUGUUGCUUUUCAUUUUGCUGAGUUUCCCUUUUGCUUUUAAACAAUUAUAUGCAAGAAAAGCACCUUUCCUACCAGAGGCAGUACUGAGUGAGGAGAAGACUCAGCAAGCAGAAUAAUAAUAACUAAGGUAGGGCCAUGAGUAGGUUUCGCCUCCUCCUCCCUGUUUUGCAGCACCACCCUGAGAAGGUAAAGGGCCCUCACUGCACCUCUGCUGUCAGCACCCUGGAGCAGGGAAAAGCACAAAUAUUUCCACCCCAUAGGAGGUGUGCAGGUGUCAGUAAGAGGUGAACUGGGAUAAACACAGAUAAAGCCUCACAAGCUGGAUCCUUAUGUCCUCUGGAUCCACCCCUGCCCUGUGAAACCUUCAGCUGGCCUCUAGCUGGGUUAUGGCCAGAGGUGGGCUCACUGCAUCUGGGUGUCUUGGGGCAGGGCCAUCCAUCACGUGCUGGUGGGGAGCUGUGGCUCCCAACACUUUCUCCUCCUGCCACAAAUCCUCACACCCACAUGUGCAUGGCUUUGCAGGGACUUUAACCUUGUGCCUGGGAGCUAGCCCUGGAAUUCUGAGGGUACUCUGUCAAAAGGUCUGGUUGUGACUUCGGGUAUCAAAAUAAUGGUGUUGCUUAUAAAAAAAACCUUCAAAAUAUGAUUGUUGAUAAACCCAUGCAUUUUCAUAUAAUGCAUAAUUAAUGAACACAGAUGCUCUCUAGUUGCAGUCCCUGACAUCAUAGUGGUGGACAUGGUCUAGGAACAGAGACAGAUGACCCAGUAGCUGAAUAACUGAUCAUCUCCCUCAGAACACAGGUAUGGGGAAAAUUAAUGGCAAAAAUAGAAAACGGAAAAUUCAUGAUGCUCAACUGCUUUCUGUUUUUCUCAGCAGGGGAACUUCAGGCAAUGUGUCUGUAAAGCACCGAGCACCUUCCACUCUUCCUGACCCCACCAAUUUUCUCUGCACAAACCAUCCAUAUGGAUUUGUCAUGUGGCCUCUGAGAGACCCUGAGGCCUUGUACAUCCCAGUAAGUCAAAGCAUAUGGGGUGGAGGAGCCGCAUCCCUGCCUAAGCUUCUGCAAGUCCCUAAGGGUCAAGUUAAGUGCAAGCCUGAUCCUGUUGUCUGGACCAGGCUUGCCCAGUGCAUGUUUAACUGUCCAGCCUCAGCAGGCUGGGUUUCCUCUCAGCUGCAGGGCUCAAAGGAGAUGGCCCCUGUCUCACCCCAUGUGGUCCUGGGCAGCUCAGCAUCCCCACCAGGCCAGGGGCACAUCUUCGUGGCUGGCUCAUCUUCACCUGCCCGAGGGGCUUCAAGCCCUGGGGCUGGGGCAGGAGGUUGAGAAACAAGAAGGCUGAGGGACUGAAAGACUUCUCUGGAGCCAUGUAGUCCUUUCAGCAUUUCCAUGAGUUUAUUUUUCCUCUCAGACCCAGGGGCUUAUCAGCACUUCCCUGCCCCACAGGGAUGUUGGGAUGAGCUAAUCCAUUAAAAGCUGUGCAGUGCUGAGACACCAAGUCUACAGCCACACAAAUUAAUAAGAUGGGCCAAGGAAUGUUUUCCACCUCCAAGACCCAUUGGCAUGCCCUGCCAUUCCCAAAGGGAUGUACUCCUGUCCCCCCAGAGCAGGAGAACUGUGCCCAAACCACCUGCCGAGAACCACUCCAGCUCCUGAAAUAUGCCUGGGCAUUGGCAGCAAACUCAUGCAAGGGCAGUGCCAACCAUUUAAUUGCAUGGGCAACUGCCUGGGCCUGUGCCCUACCUCUACUUUAUUAAUUUAUUAGUACCUUGCUGCUAGCCUGCACUUGUACAGACAGAGAGUUUGCCUUUAGCAAGGACAAUAAAGUGCCUGUGAGGGAAAAGUCCAAAGUGUUUCAUUGGUUUUAGUAGAAAAAGGUGCUUUCUCCUCUGGGUUUCCAUCUCUUUUCUCCUGGUCACUGUGGAGCUGGGUUUGGUUGAUUCAGACAGUGAGAUUUUUUUUGUGCAGUGCCUAGCAGAGGGAGCCUUGGUGGCCGUGUAUCACUGCCAUCCCAGCGGAUCAUGCUGUUGCUGUUAUAAACAUAAUACAGCCAGGUUUAAGACAGGGAUGUAAUGCUCUGAGUGGCCAGCUUACUGAAGGGAACAAAGAAAUGAUUAUAGGGCUAGAGAAAAAGUAAGGGGGAAAAAACUAAAAGAAAACAAAGAGCCAUUGACAAGAGACAAAUUAGUUAGCUCUCGAGUGUCCUUCUCCAUCUGAUAAAACAAAAAUGUCCAGAGCAACAAUUAACAAAAAAAAAUAUGCAGAGUAGAAUAUCUCUGUUUAGCUCCAGGUACUGACUGUACACAAGACUCUUUCUUUUUGGUUGUUGUUCUCAUGUUUUGGGUUAUCUUGAGCCUUGGUUAGUGCAGAGCUGGUUGCAUGUGUGUAUGUGUAUGUAUGGUGCAGUCCCCACAGGUUUGAGAGCUGUCUUUUGUGAAGGAAGGGAAGCCCCACUGAAGGGCAGCAAAGGAGCAAAGCAGGCGCAGAGGAUACAGGAAUGUGCUUUGGCUGCUCCUAAGGAAACACAGCUCAGGGGUAGGAAUUAGUGCUGGAAAAGGACUCAGAACUAGAGGCAAAUCCAGCAGGUGGUUAAGGUUGGGAAGACAGCACUAAAUAAAACCAAGAAAAGGAAAGCUGAGGAGAGUGCUGCUCCUGGGCUGCUCUGGGGUACAUUGCUCAUGGCUGGCUCACUGGCAGGCAGCGAGGUGGGGGAAGGAUGGGCUGUGCCCACGAGAGGGUGGUAUGAACAACAGGGAGCUGAAUGAUGUUUGGUUUUGCCUCAUCAAAGAGAAAGGGAAUAAUCCGUUCUCCAUGGCAUGUGGAGGUAAAUAAAGAAAUACGUAGUGAGCUCAAACUGCAGCACAGAAAGCUCAAUACAGAUAGCAAGACAAUGUUGUGGACAAUUGCAUAUUGCAGUUGCCUCCAGGGACUGAGGCAUCUCCAGAAAGGUAAGACACCCAGGGCUGUCAGGAAUGGUUAGGGACAGCUGAUUUUGUUUCUAGGCAGCUGGGGUGCAGUGGUGUUUCCUGACAGUUGCUCUUCCAACCAUACUUUUGGAAAACAAUCCAAAGGCUGUCAAGUGCUAUGGCUCCGUGGUGAUUUUCACUGACAACAGAAAGGAAACUAGACAAAGGCUAGGAUGCAUUUCAGUGUUCUUGCUCUCUUACUGUAAUAUUUGUUUACAUGUGUGGAAGCAGAUGUACCUGUUCCAUUCACUUUUUCUCCAUUCACUUCACUGACCACCUCCUCUUGUCCUAUGAAUCGUUGGUCUGUCCCUGAAGUGCAGCCUAUAAACCGUAGGACUGGAUAACCUUAUGGGAGCUGUUUUGGGUCCCUUCCCUGUGUGAGUGUGACCAACUGCCCAGUGCCAGGCACUGUCCCAGGGGACUGUUCAUCUCUGUGGGUGAGGUACAAACUGGUGUUGGGUUCAGAGCAAAGCCCGGCCCAUCUCAUGCUGCCGGCUGCUGCUCAAAAGCCUGCGAAAUGAAUAGUCAAGACCUGUCAGAUAUACAGCUAGAUGCUGUUAAGUGCUCUUUGUCAUGGAUGCUAGAUUGCUUUCUAUCAGAGAUAGAUCACAGAAACAAGAAAUGACUCUUGCCUCUUACAGUUUUGUGUUUGGAAGCAGUUGUUCUUAGCUAUGUUAUAUCAUUUACCUAUAUCACACCAUCUCUGGUCUCAUUGGAAGUCUCUACUUCGUUUGCAGUGACUCCUCUUUCCUUCCCUGCUAGAGUGGCAGACUCACCUACUAACCUCAAAAUUGGUCUGAAUUCCUUCUACUUUCCACAGCAGCUAGUGGCACCACAGGUUACACAGUCAAAGUUUGCCCAACAAUCUUGUUGCCGUAGUACGAAGCAGAAAGGAAAAGACCUAUCUUUACCUUUACUGCAUUAGCUUUUGUAGUUCAAAUAAUUAAAAUUUCUUUUGUCACUAAACUGCGGGAACACAAAUUGAAGAUGCAGAAAUAAAAACAUCAUUUUUUUCCUGAUGCACUGAGAACUGGAUUCUGCAAACCCCCAUGCAGCUUGCUUCCCUGUUAACCGAAGCGUAAAUGUUCUUGUGUUCAGGGCCUCUCUCCCCUGACUGGAGCCCUUCUGCAUGGCUUGUCCUUCAAAAGCUGAGUGACAAUAAGAAAUUGUCCUACUUAAACAAGGGACCUAUUUCACCUUCUCACCACACUCAUAAAAAAAUGGCGAUGCUAAAUACUCUUAAAGAUCAAAGGCCCAGUAUGCAAAACAGAUCCUGUACACCAAACUGAUGGGCUUCUCAGGCUUUUGUUGCUAUGGUGCUAUUUUCUUGACAAGUUAAAAUAUCCCUUGUCAGUCUCCAUGGCAGCCUAGAGGGAGAAGUAACCAUCAAAAAAUAACUGAAUAUUUUCUUUGACUACAGCCACUGAGUGGUUAAUUUUUUUUAAGCUUUAAUAACCCUUGACUUCAAGUUUGGCUAUUAACCCACCAACUGAUCAUUAACUAUAUAGACUGAAUGACUGAUGUCCAGAGGAUUGGUGUAAAGCAGGAUUAGUUUUUAGAUUUUUUUUUUUUUUUUUUGGAAGGACUCUAAUAUCUCCCACCACCAGACAGACAACCUUUUGAUUCCCCCUUAAGACUCUGGGGCUGAGCAGAGAGGUACUUGCAGGUUAUCUGCAUAGAAACACACUGCUCAGAGCUGAUAAACUCACUGACGCUCUAUCCUGCUUUCCAAUUUAACUCAAGCCUUGCUGAGCAGCAGGAGUAACCUGAAUGAAUUGCUGGGGGUCACAGCUUGAUGUCUUUAAUCAACAUUCCCAGCUUAAUCAAUGGGACUUUAGGUAGACUGAAACACAAAUCUGAAUAUUUCUGGUAUUUACCCUGGUGCUUGUCCUUUUCCUAACAGGACAGCUAGUUAUGAAUAAAUGCAAUGUUGCUGCAGAAAUGAUCAAAUGUCAAUUGGACUUCUCUUUUUUUACCCUAUUCAUCUUUAAAAUGCCUACAGCUGAAACUUUCUAGUGGCAAUUUGCUUAGGCCAUUUAGAUAAUAAUGUGCUAAUAAACGAAAGGAGCAUUCUUUUUUCAUGAAUAAACUAUUCUGACUCACAGUCCAUGUCCUAAGCCACAAGACCAUCCUGUCUUUAUGACCUGAGAUCCAUAAGACCUAAGGAGCUGACUCUGACUCAGCAGAGGAGGGCUGGGAUUGGACUGUGUUUGCUAUGUGUAUCUUUCUUCCAAACACAACGCAGCCAGAAGUAAGUUAGGAAAAAGCCUCUGGCCCUGAUUUCUCUUUGGGGUUUUGAUUGCUCCCUUUGGUAUGAGAGUGAAUUAAGUUCGGAUUUAUAAAUAGCAGCCUAACCACCCCUGUGCUGACAGGCACAAAUGUCAGGAAAUAUGUAGUUAGUUCCACCGGUGCGGCAUCUUUGAACUUUAAUUUUAAGUACCUCUGUCAUACCAAGGGGAAGCAGAACAACACAUCUGGAAAUAAAAGGUUCCUGUUAGACUUUCGCACUAACUAUUUCCAGCUUUUUUCCAGAUAGGAGUUUUCAGUAAAAUGUUUUCUAAUUAAAAAAUACUGAUUCCUCAAAACUAUUGUUCUUCUCGUGAGAGCUACAAAAGAAACACGACCAGUACAUUUCUCAAAUAAAAAUAGUAAGGAAAAAAAUUAUGAAUAUCAAAGCAUCACUUUUUUUCAUUAUUGACAUUUAAAAAAUAUUUUCUUUAUCCAAAUGUCUUCUACAAUGUAAAUAAUUAUACUUUUAAGUGUUACUUAAAAAAAAAAAUCUUGAAAGCUCUGAAAUUAAGUAUUUCCAUUGACUCAAACUGCAUUUCUAUUGUUUGCUUGCAAAUAUUUUCCAUGGCUUCAUUUUUGAUCCCAUUUUCUGACUUGAGAGACUUUUUCCAUUUCAAGCACCUGCUCUCAGCUGAAAAUAAUAACCAGAUAUUUUGUGCUUGAAUAAAAAGUAGAAAGAAGUUCCAGCUAAGACAGGCCACAUGUGCCUUUGGAAUAUGUUUACAGAGGAGCAGCACACCUGUGCUAUGGCUUCAGUUAUAAUAGCAAGACUCUGCUGUAAGUCAGCCAGGUGAGGAGUGCUCCAUCAGACUAUACCCUCCUGUAAGGAGUUGCUAGCAUGACGUUCAGCAGGACAACAAAGUGGAGAGGAAUAGACAAAAACUGUGAGACAGUAAUUUUUCUGCAUAUGUUUAUUGAAUUUUCCAUUUGCAGAGGUGCAAUCACGUUGAUUCACAGCUGGCAGGAUAAAUGUCCCAGCAUAACAAAAGCACCAGGUUUUCCAGCAUUCAUUUCUAAUGCUAAAAUCCUGCAGAAAAAUCUGUUACUGUGCAUAGGGAGGGACUGUUCCUGAUGGAGGCAAAGCUCACAGUGAAGUACCAGCUGCAGCAUUGGAGCCAAGAAGUUGCAGAGGCAGCUGCUGUUUGCCUUUCCCCACGUAGCAUUCCUGCCUCCAGCCCUGCAGAGCAGUGGGACCAGGAGUGCACCAGUGACGCUGGCUGCAUCCUGCACACAUGUAAAGCUGCCUCCUCAGGCUGUGGCAAGCUAACACUGGAGAGGUUUUUCCAGCUCCCAGGAAUGAAAUAGCACCUCUGCCAAUACAGUUCAUAGCAGAGCCUCAGGAAAAAAAAGCCCUAGUAUAACUACAACCAUCUCCACAAUCACAGUUGUCAUUGCCCCUGAGGGCAGAAACCACAAAAAAGCCUAGACCCGAAGCAGCAGCACUGUGCCAGAUGCACUUGCUCUGUGCCCGAGGCUGGGCUGCUGAGCUGCUUGGGCUGAGCUGCUGGCUGUGGGGCUGCCAGGAGGCUGAGCUGCAGAGCUGUGCAGCUUUGGGGCUGCUGCGCAACUUGGAUGUGGCACUGGAUGAUGGGCUGGGUGGAUGGGUGGUAGGGAUUGCUGGACUCCCGGGCUGUAGGGCUGCACGAUGCUGGGAUGUGGGGAUGCUGAAAUGCAGGCAUCUGGCGCUGGGUGUUAGGCUGGGUGUCUGCAGGGCUACAAAAAUGGACAUUUGGGUGCAGAUCGUCUAGUGUUCUUGGUUGUGCGACUGCUGGGACACCGACCUGGGGAGAUAUGAGGCUGCUGGGUGGUGGGCACAGGGAAAUGUUGGGCUGGAGGGCUGUGUGUGGGCUGGAUCCAAGGCCGCAGGGGUGCUGAGUGGAGGGGUGGCAGGACUGCAGAGCGGCGUGCAACUCUGCGAAGCUGGAUGCUGGCCUGUGACAAGU